AUUGAACGCUGGCGGCAUGCCUUACACAUGCAAGUCGAACGGUAACGGGCCUUCGGGUGCCGACGAGUGGCGAGCGGGUGAGUAAUACAUCGGAACGUGCCCGAUCGUGGGGGAUAACGAGGCGAAAGCUUUGCUAAUACCGCAUACGAUCUACGGAUGAAAGCAGGGGACCGCAAGGCCUUGCGCGGACGGAGCGGCCGAUGGCAGAUUAGGUAGUUGGUGGGAUAAAAGCUUACCAAGCCGACGAUCUGUAGCUGGUCUGAGAGGAUGAUGAGCCACACUGGGACUGAGACACGGCCCAGACUCCUACGGGAGGCAGCAGUGGGGAAUUUUGGACAAUGGGCGCAAGCCUGAUCCAGCCAUGCCGCGUGCAGGAUGAAGGCCUUCGGGUUGUAAACUGCUUUUGUACGGAACGAAAAGCCUUCUUUUAAUACAGGAGGGUCAUGACGGUACCGUAAGAAUAAGCACCGGCUAACUACGUG
rnacentral:rRNA from 1 species